CACGAGGUAAGGGACGUGGCACCGAGUGCCUGCACGCAGCGGGGACACGGGGAGGCUUUUCCUGGCAGGAUUUCCCGCAGGUGGAGAAAUUAACAUGCAGCAGAGCCCCUGGUCCAGAUGUUCAGGCAGCGUGAACUGGAGUCAUCCCCUGGUCCUGGUGCGGGUUUACACCAGCAGCGAGUUAAGGCUCCAAAGGCUCAGAGCCCUGUCGAUCUGUUGCAGCCUUUCAGAUCAUGCAAAGUAAGUAAAGAAACCCCCCAAACAAAAAUAAAAGCACCCCCCACUGAUGCUCACUGAACUUCCUUAUUCCCUUCCUGGCAGCGUGCUCCUCCAGCCCAGCGCCUGCGUUCCCAUAGCAUCAUCCCGUCCCUAUGUAAAUGUGCGCUCUCCCCGCUGCCUUUGAUCUACCUUGAUGUAUAUGCAGUUGCGAUUCUGUUCUGUUAAAUGCCUGCUCUUGUGUCUAGAGCAUCACAGGCCCUUUUGAAUCCCUCAAACAAGCUGGAAUCAUUUUGA